rnacentral:rRNA from 1 species
UACGGAGGGAGCUAGCGUUGUUCGGAAUUACUGGGCGUAAAGCGCGCGUAGGCGGCUUUGUAAGUUAGAGGUGAAAGCCCGGGGCUCAACCCCGGAACUGCCUUUAAGACUGCAUCGCUUGAAUCCGGGAGAGGUGAGUGGAAUUCCGAGUGUAGAGGUGAAAUUCGUAGAUAUUCGGAAGAACACCAGUGGCGAAGGCGGCUCACUGGACCGGCAUUGACGCUGAGGUGCGAAAGCGUGGGGAGCAACCAGG